rnacentral:rRNA from 1 species
CAGGCUUAACACAUGCAAGUCCUGGGGCAUCAGGAAGAAAGCUUGCUUUCUUUGCUGGCGACCGGCGCACGGGUGAGUAACACGUAUCCAACCUGCCCUUUACUCGGGGAUAGCCUUUCGAAAGAAAGAUUAAUACCCGAUAGCAUAAUGAUUCCGCAUGGUUUCAUUAUUAAAGGAUUCCGGUAAAGGAUGGGGAUGCGUUCCAUUAGGUUGUUGGUGAGGUAACGGCCCACCAAGCCUUCGAUGGAUAGGGGUUCUGAGAGGAAGGUCCCCCACAUUGGAACUGAGACACGGUCCAAACUCCUACGGGAGGCAGCAGUGAGGAAUAUUGGUCAAUGGGCGCUAGCCUGAACCAGCCAAGUAGCGUGAAGGAUGAAGGCUCUAUGGGUCGUAAACUUCUUUUAUAUAAGAAUAAAGUGCAGUAUGUAUACUGUUUUGUAUGUAUUAUAUGAAUAAGGAUCGGCUAACUCCGUGCCAGCAGCCGCGGUAAUACGGAGGAUCCGAGCGUUAUCCGGAUUUAUUGGGUUUAAAGGGAGCGUAGGUGGACUGGUAAGUCAGUUGUGAAAGUUUGCGGCUCAACCGUAAAAUUGCAGUUGAUACUGUCAGUCUUGAGUACAGUAGAGGUGGGCGGAAUUCGUGGUGUAGCGGUGAAAUGCUUAGAUAUCACGAAGAACUCCGAUUGCGAAGGCAGCUCACUGGACUGCAACUGACACUGAUGCUCGAAAGUGUGGGUAUCAAACAGGAUUAGAUACCCUGGUAGUCCACACAGUAAACGAUGAAUACUCGCUGUUUGCGAUAUACAGUAAGCGGCCAAGCGAAAGCAUUAAGUAUUCCACCUGGGGAGUACGCCGGCAACGGUGAAACUCAAAGGAAUUGACGGGGGCCCGCACAAGCGGAGGAACAUGUGGUUUAAUUCGAUGAUACGCGAGGAACCUUACCCGGGCUUAAAUUGCAGUGGAAUGAUGUGGAAACAUGUCAGUGAGCAAUCACCGCUGUGAAGGUGCUGCAUGGUUGUCGUCAGCUCGUGCCGUGAGGUGUCGGCUUAAGUGCCAUAACGAGCGCAACCCUUAUCUUUAGUUACUAACAGGUUAUGCUGAGGACUCUAGAGAGACUGCCGUCGUAAGAUGUGAGGAAGGUGGGGAUGACGUCAAAUCAGCACGGCCCUUACGUCCGGGGCUACACACGUGUUACAAUGGGGGGUACAGAAGGCAGCUAGCGGGUGACCGUAUGCUAAUCCCAAAAUCCUCUCUCAGUUCGGAUCGAAGUCUGCAACCCGACUUCGUGAAGCUGGAUUCGCUAGUAAUCGCGCAUCAGCCACGGCGCGGUGAAUACGUUCCCGGGCCUUGUACACACCGCCCGUCAAGCCAUGGGAGCCGGGGGUACCUGAAGUACGUAACCGCAAGGAUCGUCCUAGGGUAAAACUGGUGA